UUUAUACUUUAUCCGUAAUCAUAAGAAAGGUCGAGAGGGAGACCCGUAGAGUGAGCGCUCCGCUUCACGACGACGGCGAUGACGAUGGCGCUCGCGAGUUCGCUCGCUUCCCUUAGCAUCUCCUCCAAUUCCUUCUUCGGCCAGCCUCUAUCUCCCCCGCUCUUAUUAGCGCCGACCAAAUUGGUGCGUCAACCAGGCACUAUAGUGAUGAAGCUCAAGCGCUGGGAGCGCAAGGAGUGUAAACCGAAUAGUCUUCCCGUGCUGCACAAGAUGCACGUCAAAGUAGGGGACAUAGUCCAACUUAUCACAGGCCAUGAGAAAGGUAAGGUUGGAGAAAUUACACGCAUUUUCAGGCAUAAUAGCACUGUGAUAAUAGAAGGCUUGAACUUGAAGACAAAGCACACAAAGAGCAGAGAACAAGGAGAACCUGGCCAAAUUGUGAAGAUUGAAGGAGCAAUCCACAGCUCAAAUGUGAUGCUAUACUCAAAAGAAAAAAAAGUGGCGAGCAGAGUGGGUCACAAAAUCCUCGAGGAUGGAACAAGGGUGCGUUAUCUUAUCAAGACUGGUGAGAUCGUUGACGGCGCAGAGAACUGGAAAAAGGCUAUCAAAGAACGAAAGGAAAAGACAGUAGAGAAGGCCAGUUAGUAUGAAGGCAUCAUGUUCUGGUCAUGUAUUAACUUAUAAAUAUAACAGAUUUCAUGGCUACCCACUACCCUGAGAUUUGUGAUCAAUGUUGUUGUUGCUGCUCCACAAGAUGUUUAAUAUCUCAAGUAAUUUUCUCCAGAUUACCAGAUCGGAAGAAAGUCAUCCCAAAGCUCAUGGAUGGCUCACCGAGGUGUACCAUAAGAUACCUACCUUGAGUCGCACACUGAAGGACUGCUGCUGCUUUUUGAUUCCAGACAAAGAUUGCUUCGUGUGCUGGCUUCACGUGCACGCAUGCCGCACUAGCAGCAGUGGACCGACAUGAGCUAGAACGAAGCCAUAAAGCGAGUCCCAAUUGCUCCUCUUUUGUACGCUUCGACUCCAUGUGACCUCCAAUUCCAUGCCCAGAUAACACUGUCAAAGCUAGGAGAAGAAGGAGGAGGAGAGGGGGGAGGAAGAACAGGAAAAGAGGAGGAGAGGAGGUAUCAUACACAAUGUGCUACGUGGGGAAGGCCACCAAGAUCUUCUUCUUCCUAACUGGCUUCCUGCUUCUCCUCGGCCUUGUCGUCGGCUUCGGCCUCUCCCGCCAUGGCUGGGCCCACAAGGCCGCUUCCGCCGCCAAGCCCUGCCAGUACUCUGCCGCUGGCGGCGGCUCAUGCAGCUCUAUCUUCCCCGACCCAAUACCCGCCGACGCCGCCGCCGCCGCCCCGCCGAUACCCGCUGACACUUUUGCCGCGCCGCCUCCUCCCUCGGCAGCCGAGAUGCCGCAACCUGAAUCCGCGCUGACCCCGCCGUCUCCACCCUCCGUGCUACCGUCUCCACCGGCCACGCUGCCGCCUCCAGCCCCAGCCGAGCUGCCACCGCCCCCGACGACCACCGAUCCGUCAUCCACUACGGCUGCGCCGCCACUUGCCAGUCCCGGUCUGCCGAGCCCAGUGUGGGGGGCGACCGGUCCGGCUCAUUCAUAGUGGUUUAAAUGCUCUUAAGGGUCUCAUUAAACUGGUUAGUUUUAGAAUAAAAGGUCCAUUCAAUUA